GUCUUAGGGUUUAAAAUUUUCAUAGGUCGCCUGUCCGAAGGUUCUUCAUAGUGUGGGCCCAAGGCCCAACAUGAGUGUUCGAUGAAGGUUGUGGAACUCCCAGUUUCCAUUGGUUGGUACCUGAAAUUACAUGGCAAUAAGUUGACUUUUUGGCAUUCCAGACAAUGAGUGCUGUGAAUAUUACUAAUGUCACUGUUUCAGACAAUCCGGCGCCGUUUUUGAGUCCGUUUCAGUUCGAGAUCUCUUAUGAAUGUGUCACUCCUCUUAAAGACGGUGUUCUUACCUUUCCUAUGUUUCUGUGAGAGGCUUGUGUUUAUGGUCUGGUUUUGAUGUGUUUUAUAAUUUAGGUACUACAAGCAAACGAUUCAUCAAAGUUUGAAGCUUAUGUGAUAGUUUUUGUUGUGUUUAGAACAUUAGAUGUUAUGUUUUUGUUGGUCUGUGAAAUAUUAUUUCUUGAAAGUCCCCAAAAUGGUUUGGAUUGAGAUCACUUUGGACUCUGAGAUUUUUCUUUUUUUAUUUUUGGGUUAAUGGGAUAUAUUUAGUUAGAUUACAAGUGCAAAUUCAUUUAUGAUCAAUCUCAAUAUGUGGAAUCCGAUUAAGCCGUCUAUUAUUGACUUGCUGUUGCUGUUUGACCCGUAUCAAUGAAGUAUCCUUGCAUAAAAGCCUAAUAUGAUAGCUAUAAUGAUUCAGUCAAGUAAUGAUUGGUCAUACUUUCGCAAUAGGUUUGUAAGUAAACUUGUGAAUCCAAUGAAAACACCUCUUUGGUUAUGUUGAUUGAAUUUCUUUCUGGUUAUUAUUAAACUCCACCGUAGUUGAUGGAAUCUGUUGACUGAAAGUGUUCUGGAGCUGGAACCCAAUUGGUAAUAUCUGGCACCAAUAAAAAUUGUAUCAUAAUGUUUAUUUAUUUUGACUCCACUUCAAACCAUUACUGCUGACACUUAGUGAGAAAAUGAUUCUAUUGUUAGUGACCUCUCCAAAAGCAUGUUAAUUGAUGUUUCGGCCCUCAUCACAACAUACUUCUUAGUAUGUUUUUAUAUUGGUUCUGAAUUUGUAUGUAAUCUGUGACCUUUUGGUUCUCUGUUCUCUUUCAAUUUGCAGUGGCCUUAGAGACUGAGUUUGAGAGAAACUGUAAUGGUGUUUGUGCUUGUGUCAGGGAACGAACUUCUAUAUGAGCUUGAAGGCCAUCUUUAAAAUAUUUGGAGUGGAAACUUAUUUAUGUGGGAUCUGCUGAGGAUGAAACUUAUGAUCAACAAUUGGAAAGUGUCCUUGUUGGACCUGUCAAUGUUGGAAACUAUUGUUUUGUAUUACAGGCAAUUUUAACUGAAUCCUUGCUCCAGUUUGUUGUUCAGAUUUGUUUGACAUAAUCUCAUAUUGUACCCUUGGUUGCAUACAUUGCAAGCUGAUCCACCAGACCCAUUGAAGAUAUGAGAAGAAGAUAUUAUUGGUGUUACAGUGCUUCUGUUGACGUGCUCAUACCUUGGCCAGGAAUUUGUCCGAGUGGGAUACUAUGUAAACAAUGAUUAUUAGGACAGGCAGUUGAAAGAGAAGCCUACCCCGAAGGUUUUGAUUGAUAAGGUCCGGAGAAAUAUACUAUCUGAUAAACCCAGGGUCACAAAGUUCCCCAUCAAUUUUCAUCCUGAAGAUGGUGAAAGAGAGGAACUGCCUCCUCCACCUGACUGCCCUGAUGAAACCGCUCAAUUGCCUACCUCACCUGAUCAGCCUUCCAACAACUAGGUAUUUUGAUUUUAGCAAUUAUAGGAGCAAUAUAUUUUCUGAACUUCCAAUUUAUUAUAAUUUUUUUAAAUUUAGGUGUCUUACUGACUUGAUAGAACUUCAUCUGAAAUUCAACUUGCCAAUGGAACGAUGCUUUUAUUUUUUUAAACAGCCAGAUUGAAAUAUUGUAAGUGAUGUUUGAUGAAUGAGUUGAACCUGGUUGACUCUGUUGUCAAUCCAUUGUUUUA